UUUUGAAUAAAAUACAUUACCGGGUUAUCAAAAUUUGAAGAAAUCCUGAAGAAAUCUUGUAAAUCUUCGCGUCAAUCCUUGUUCUUGCCUUCAAAUCCUCUCCAAAAUGAAUGUUUUUGCCUCCCAAUUCGUUACUUUCGGCUUCUGGACGUUUUUUGCUAUUUAAACCCGUCGAAAUUAGGUUACCAAAGGAGUUGCAAUCAUAUAAGG
rnacentral:lncRNA from 1 species